rnacentral:rRNA from 1 species
GAUGAACGCUGGCGGCGUGCCUAAUACAUGCAAGUCGAGCGAACGGACGAGAAGCUUGCUUUUCUGAUGUUAGCGGCGGACGGGUGAGUAACACGUGGAUAACCUACCUAUAAGACUGGGAUAACUUCGGGAAACCGGAGCUAAUACCGGAUAAUAUUUUGAACCGCAUGGUUCAAAAAUGAAAGACGGUCUUGCUGUCACUUAUAGAUGGAUCCGCGCUGCAUUAGCUAGUUGGUAAGGUAACGGCUUACCAAGGCAACGAUGCAUAGCCGACCUGAGAGGGUGAUCGGCCACACUGGAACUGAGACACGGUCCAGAAUCCUACGGGAGGCAGCAGUAGGGAAUCUUACGCAAUGGGCGAAAGCCUGACGGAGCAACGCCGCGUGAGUGAUGAAGGUCUUCGGAUCGUAAAACUCUGUUAUUAGGGAAGAACAUAUGUGUAAGUAACUGUGCACAUCUUGACGGUACCUAAUCAGAAAGCUACGGCUAACUACGUG